GACGAACGCUGGCGGCGUGCCUAAUACAUGCAAGUCGAGCGAAGUUUUUCUGGUGCUUGCACUAGAAAAACUUAGCGGCGAACGGGUGAGUAACACGUAAAGAACCUGCCUCAUAGACUGGGACAACUAUUGGAAACGAUAGCUAAUACCGGAUAACAGCAUUAACUGCAUGGUUGAUGUUUGAAAGUUGGUUUUGCUAACACUAUGAGAUGGCUUUGCGGUGCAUUAGCUAGUUGGUGGGGUAAAGGCCUACCAAGGCGACGAUGCAUAGCCGACCUGAGAGGGUGAUCGGCCACACUGGGACUGAGACACGGCCCAGACUCCUACGGGAGGCAGCAGUAGGGAAUCUUCCGCAAUGGGCGAAAGCCUGACGGAGCAACGCCGCGUGAGUGAAGAAGGAUUUCGAUUCGUAAAGCUCUGUUGUUAGGGAAGAAUGAUUAUGUAGUAACUAUACAUAGUAGAGACGGUACCUAACCAGAAAGCCAC
rnacentral:rRNA from 1 species